AGCUGUCUCUUGUGGGGAAAAUCUAUAUUCUGUAGAGAAUCCCCUUUCCCUUACCACAUCUUUUCCCUGAUCCAGGAGAGAAUUAACUAAAGUCUGGCACCUUUUUAAGUCUGGUAACAAACAUUUACAAUCUGUUCUCUCUGAAGCCUGCCACCUGGAGGCCUCGUCUGGAUAAGAAGAAGCUUGGUCUCCACAACCCCUUGUCUUAACCCAGACACUCCUUUCUACUGAUUCCAGCUCUUUAGAUAAUAACUGGACUCUUUCAACCAACUGCCAAUCAGAAAAUCUUCAAAUCCACUUCUUCUGCCCCUGCCAAUUGCUAUCCCAUCAGUAAAAUAGAACAUGCAGACGCUGGCUAAGUUUCACUGUGG
rnacentral:lncRNA from 1 species